AGACACACAUGAUUAUAGAAAUUUAGUACUGAGGAAGUAUAUGCAGGACAGAAAAAUAAUUAGGAAUUCUUCGUUUAUGAUGUAUCU
rnacentral:snoRNA from 1 species